AGUGAACGCUGGCGGUAGGCCUAACACAUGCAAGUCGAACGGCAGCACAGUAAGAGCUUGCUCUUACGGGUGGCGAGUGGCGGACGGGUGAGGAAUACAUCGGAAUCUACUUUUUCGUGGGGGAUAACGUAGGGAAACUUACGCUAAUACCGCAUACGACCUACGGGUGAAAGCAGGGGAUCUUCGGACCUUGCGCGAUUGAAUGAGCCGAUGUCGGAUUAGCUAGUUGGCGGGGUAAAGGCCCACCAAGGCGACGAUCCGUAGCUGGUCUGAGAGGAUGGUCAGCCACACUGGAACUGAGACACGGUCCAGACUCCUACGGAAGGCAGCGGUGGGGAAUGUUGGACAAAGGGCGCAAGCCUGAUCCAGCCAUACCGGGUGGGUGAAGAAGGCCUUCGGGUUGUAAAGCCCUUUUGUUGGGAAAGAAAAGCAGCAGGUUAAUACCCCGCUGUUCGGACGGUACCCAAAGAAUAAGCACCGGCUAACUUCGG
rnacentral:rRNA from 1 species